AAAAUAAAUUGGAUCACCAAUUAGUGAAAUGAAAAUUUCACUCCCUAAAUAGGGUUUUUUUUUUAGUUCAGGGGAUCUGCUAUAUCCCGCUGAAAACUUAUAAGGCUAUGGGAUCUCCUAUAUCCCUAUGCCGUUAGGGCUUAGGGUGGUGCGGCGGUAUCGAUUACUAAUUGGAGUCUGACUGGGUGCUUCAAUUGAGGUGCGGCGAAAAUCCAGCACAGAUUCAAGGGGCGAGUUGCGUCCGCGUGGUAGGUCCGCCUUCCACGUGGGGCGUGGGUCCUACGCAGCGGCCUGGAAACCCUAGGAUGCCGUGCCAUAAAGGAGCAGGUAGUGCGUCCCUCUUUAUAGGGGCGUGGCCCUGUAUUCACAGCCGGCAAACGCUGCUACUUCCUAUCAGACCGCAUGAACCCGUAAGGGGGAUGGACUUAGGGGGGCACGCAUAUAGGUUAGGGUGCUUUCCUGGUCCUUCGGGGCUGGGCGGGCGGACCGGACAGUCGAUAACUGUGUCUGGCCCUCCGGGGCCUACCUUUUAUCCAGCAAUGGGCCUGACGAUACUGAAAGCGUGUUGGGGCUGGUAUCCUGGGACCUUCUCGUGGUGGCCCUGUUUAAACAGACCUUACCAGGAUAUUUGACCUGCUCAGUGAACAGGAAUCAGUUAAUCACAAUUUGAAUUCGUCAUUGUUGGAUUAACUUAAAAAAAAAAAAAAAAAAUCUGUUUUCUAAUAACAAAAGAUAUAAAUCUCUGAACACUAUACCAUUUUGGUCCAAAUUUGGCAUUUCCAUUUCAUCCUAUUUGAAACCCAUUUGAAAAAUUGCUCCAAAAAGUUGUUUUCAGUAAUUCUGAAUCAUGUUCACUGCGCGGAUCACAUCAAUUCAUAUUUUAUUUCCAAAAAGGAUGGAAGAUUAGGGGCUGAUUGCCUUAAAACACCAAAAACUUUAAUAAAAAAAAAUUCAAUUCCAUGACAAGAGGAAGUUUUGCGAAAAGAAAUUCAAAUUUGCAGUCAAAAUCCAAUAAGAUCUUAUUAGCGAUGAGAUAACUGUGCUUCAGUUUUAAAAAAUGAAAUAUUAAGAACAUGGGAAAAAAUAACCGGAAAAGAAAUAUUUGCAAAAGGAAUUGAAUUAAGAAAGAACAUUAAUUGUUGCUUUGAAAAAAAAAACAUGCUUGGAUCAUUGUGCCAAUUGGUGCACUCUUGAAUAUGGAAUAGGGUUUGGUGUUGAAAUAAAAAAGGAUAAACAGUGCAAGAGAACUACCUAGAGUUGAAGAACAUCUAUCAAACAUCACCGCAGAAUUGUUUUUAAUUUAAAAGACGAUUCUGGUUAAAACAUUUGGUAAAAUUGUUGUAUUUAUUUAUCUAUUUCUUGAGGUAAAUUUCAUCUGACAGCACAAAUGCUGGAGGCAGAUGGCAUCAGAGUCUAGAGAAAAUUGUCUAAUCAAAACUGAGCAGAGUGAACAUCUUAGUGCAGGUGUACUGACUACGAAAAGGCAAAAUUAUGGAGACCUUGGAACAAGAUUGUAUGUUUACUGAGGUUUUCCGAAGACGUCUUCUGGCAGAAACAUCUUGGAGGACAUUGGCCAAGAAGAAGGUACAAACUACAUGAGGCUACAACAUGAAGCUUCACUCUAACCUAUGAUGUCUACUUUUGGAAAUUUUUCAUUUCUCUCAAAAUGCUUCUCAAUUUGGAAAGGCCUUUGUCUAUAAAACUAGGAAACAGUCAAAAUCAGGCACAACUGAACCCCCCCCCCCCAAUGUUAUCAUCUUUGCCCAAAUAUUCAAAACUGAUUGGUAAUGAGUGAUAUUAAAUGUUUGACCACAAAUCUCGGUAAAAUGUAAAGUUAACCCCUUGUCAUUUUUUGGCCAAUUUUGCGUAAUGAAAGUGAAAUUGCUGCAAACUCACAGUGAAGAUGCUCAACCUGAAGCACGUUUCUACACGUCUCCUGGAUAGAUAGGACAAAAUCAAUCAGUAAUGAAAUGUUUCUUCAAAAAUCAUUUACUUUUGUGCAAUACAUUCAAGUUGUUUAUUGAUGAAUACUUAAUGAAUCUCCUCUUGCAUCAACAGGGAUUUCCGUGUCGUUUGUAAGAAAGUAACCCUUUGAUCAAUUUAGUGGAAAAUGUAAGGUUAACCCCUUGCUAUUUAUAAUUAAAUUUUGCUACAAAUCGCCUUGUCUUUAUUUUAACCUGAUAUCAGAGGUGUCCUUGCUCACGUUUUGUAACCUUUGGAAAAGGCACUUUAUAAAUUAUUAUUACCUGUUGAAGAUAAACAUGUUUUUCUUCUCCAAUAUCUGAUUAAUUCAGAGAUUCAAUAAAACAAAUAUGAUGAAAAAACAAGUAUAUUUUAUACUGAUAUUCAUUUGGCGUAUUCUGAAUGACAAGUUUGUUUCGUCAAAGUUACUUGUAUGACAUUCUUAAUUCUUUUACCAACGGAAGUUGAAAACAAGUUUACUUAUUGGUGUGUCAGAAGUUGAGUUAUGCUACAAAACAUGUACUUGUCCGUGUAAAAUUUAAAUCUACCUAUUUUUAUCCGACUUUAUUUAAUGAGUAAGAUAUUGAAUAACAGCUGUUGAACUGUUUUUAUUUAAUGUUGAGAAACAAGUACUGGAAUAAAUACAGUAAAACUGAUUUAAAGCCAA